CCUACGGGGGGCAGCAGUGGGGAAUAUUGCACAAUGGGCGCAAGCCUGAUGCAGCCAUGCCGCGUGUGUGAAGAAGGCCUUCGGGUUGUAAAGCACUUUCAGCGGGGAGGAAGGCGGUGAGGUUAAUAACCUCAUCGAUUGACGUUACCCGCAGAAGAAGCACCGGCUAACUCCGUGCCAGCAGCCGCGGUAAUACGGAGGGUGCAAGCGUUAAUCGGAAUUACUGGGCGUAAAGCGCACGCGGGCGGUCUGUCAAGUCGGAUGUGAAAUCCCCGGGCUCAACCUGGGAACUGCAUUCGAAACUGGCAGGCUAGAGUCUUGUAGAGGGGGGUAGAAUGCCAGGUGUAGCGGUGAAAUGCGUAGAGAUCUGGAGGAAUACCGGUGGCGAAGGCGGCCCCCUGGACAAAGACUGACGCUCAGGUGCGAAAGCGUGGGGAGCAAACAGGAUUAGAUACCCGGGUAGUC
rnacentral:rRNA from 1 species